rnacentral:rRNA from 1 species
UCCUACGGGAGGCAGCAGUGGGGAAUAUUGGACAAUGGGGGGAACCCUGAUCCAGCCAUGCCGCGUGUGUGAAGAAGGCCUUAUGGUUGUAAAGCACUUUAAGCGAGGAGGAGGCUACUGAGACUAAUACUCUUGGAUAGUGGACGUUACUCGCAGAAUAAGCACCGGCUAACUCUGUGCCAGCACCCGCGGUAAUA